GCUCCGGAACCUCGUCCGCGCGCGCACAGCAGCGGCAGCCAUGGUGAUGGAAGAGCCCGUGCCCGCAGCAGCCCCAGUGACAUCCGCCGCCGCCGUAGCCUCCGCCGCCUUUUCCGCCGUGGCCACCGCCACCGCCACCGUAGCCUCCUCCGCCGCCUGGGUAGCCGCCGCCGCCGUAACCUCCACCGCCUUCCCCACCGUGGCCAGGGUAGCCGCCACCGCCGCCGUAGCCUCCACCGCCUUCCCCACCGUGGCCAGGGUAGCCGCCACCGCCACCGUAGCCUCCUCCGCCUUCCCCACCGUGGCCAGGGUAGCCGCCACCGCCACCGUAGCCUCCUCCGCCGCCUGGGUAGCCGCCGCCGCCGUAACCUCCACCACCUCCUCCGUAGCCUCCGCCGCCGCCGUAACCUCCUCCACCUCCGCCAUAGCCUCCCCCGCCGCCUCCGUGCCCGUGGUGGCCUCCGCCAAAGUGGAAGAAGUUCUUUACGCCGGCUUCAUUCUCUUCCUUCUUGGCCUCUACAUGGAGAGAAACAAAAGGGUGAUGGAAAUUAGUAGCUAACGCAGCAAAGCAAGUUUCUUAGCCUAAUGACGAGAGCAAUUAAUUUAACUCCUGCCAGUUCAAAACUGCUCCGAGGAGUUGGUGCAUUAGCUCACCAGGGUGUUCGUCAGUCGAGGCUACGAGGAUAGCAGCAGCAAGCAGGAGAGCGAACACAAGAAGACCCUUGCUGGAUGCCAUGCCUGGCAUCUGCCUCUUCGUGGUCGCUGUGGUUACUGGCUGGCCAGUGUGAUGGAUGAGAUACAGAUUAGCAUGCAGAGCAGGCGAAUUUAUAGGAGGGAGAGGCCGAUGGAGGGCUUGGAUACGAU
rnacentral:lncRNA from 1 species